ensembl:snoRNA
UGCCUUUAUGUGUUGCCCUUUCAUUGUUCCCUUAGUGAUUGGGGUGUCAAAUAAGGCAUACAAUGACACUUGUGAUUGUUUGUUAAAUGAGUUUCAUGUAAUUCCUUUACAAAACCGCUGCAAGGACAUAU